UACACAUGCAAGUCGAACGGCAGCGCGAGAGAGCUUGCUCUCUUGGCGGCGAGUGGCGGACGGGUGAGUAAUAUAUCGGAACGUGCCCAGUAGCGGGGGAUAACUACUCGAAAGAGUGGCUAAUACCGCAUACGCCCUACGGGGGAAAGGGGGGGAUCGCAAGACCUCUCACUAUUGGAGCGGCCGAUAUCGGAUUAGCUAGUUGGUGGGGUAAAGGCUCACCAAGGCAACGAUCCGUAGCUGGUUUGAGAGGACGACCAGCCACACUGGGACUGAGACACGGCCCAGACUCCUACGGGAGGCAGCAGUGGGGAAUUUUGGACAAUGGGGGAAACCCUGAUCCAGCCAUCCCGCGUGUAUGAUGAAGGCCUUCGGGUUGUAAAGUACUUUUGGCAGAGAAGAAAAGGUAUCCCCUAAUACGGGAUACUGCUGACGGUAUCUGCAGAAUAAGCACCGGCUAACUACGUGCCAGCAGCCGCGGUAAUACGUAGGGUGCAAGCGUUAAUCGGAAUUACUGGGCGUAAAGCGUGUGUAGGCGGUUCGGAAAGAAAGAUGUGAAAUCCCAGGGCUCAACCUUGGAACUGCAUUUUUAACUGCCGAGCUAGAGUAUGUCAGAGGGGGGUAGAAUUCCACGUGUAGCAGUGAAAUGCGUAGAUAUGUGGAGGAAUACCGAUGGCGAAGGCAGCCCCCUGGGAUAAUACUGACGCUCAGAC
rnacentral:rRNA from 1 species